rnacentral:lncRNA from 1 species
GCGAAAUAAAGUGGAAGAGGCGGUAGACCAGCCUCAUCUCUUUGGGAGAGGAGUCAGGCCAAACUCAUCCCACUACAGUCAUAAGUGCAGUGAAUCUGAGCCUUGAACCUUGGGCCAGUUCUUGAUGUUAAGUGGUAACGCCCCCUUACCAUGUUUAGUUCAUUCCACUCCUUGGGCCAUGUUUACGAUAUAGUGAUUUUAUUUGUGGAAUUAUUUAAGACAUGUAGGCAUUCAUUAAUUCACAAAUCUUUUAAGAGAUCUCAAUCAUACAUUUAAAUGAUAAAAAUAUAAUUAAUGUUACUUCGUAUUCUUGUUACAAUUAGCAAGUUGUAUUUUCAUAUAUUUUGAAUUUUAUACGCCAAAUAUAGUUCAUUUCUUGUCCAAAAAAAGAAUGACAAUAUUGUUUUAUUAAAUCAACAUUUUUGUUGACGUACAAGUUUUUUGACGACUUUUUGAUACUUUUAGCAAAUAGAAUAUUUGAUUUCUGAUACAUUUUACAUGAUUUCUAAAUGUAUAACUUAAAAGGUUUGAAAUUCAUGCUUAAAUGCAUGUUGUAAAAUGCGAUCCAAACCUCUUAAUAUAGUCUCUUGGGACUUAUGGAGGCAUUUUUUAGCAUAUCUCAUACAACAACAUCAUACCCAG